rnacentral:tRNA from 1 species
AGACCUGAGGGCCUACUUAACCCAAAAUCCGACUUGCAAUCAGACUACUCCAGAUC